GUUGUUGGGUAGGGGAGCGUUCUGUAAGCCGUUGAAGGUGUGCUGUGAGGCAUGCUGGAGGUAUCAGAAGUGCGAAUGCUGACAUAAGUAACGAUAAAGCGGGUGAAAAGCCCGCUCGCCGGAAGACCAAGGGUUCCUGUCCAACGUUAAUCGGGGCAGGGUGAGUCGACCCCUAAGGCGAGGCCGAAAGGCGUAGUCGAUGGGAAACAGGUUAAUAUUCCUGUACUUGGUGUUACUGCGAAGGGGGGACGGAGAAGGCUAUGUCAGCCGGGCGACGGUUGUCCCGGUUUAAGCAUGUAGGCGGAGGUUCCAGGUAAAUCCGGUACCUUGUUAACGCUGAGGUGUGAUGACGAGGCACUACGGUGCUGAAGUGAUAAAUGCCCUGCUUCCAGGAAAAGCCUCUAAGCAUCAGGUAACACGAAAUCGUACCCCAAACCGACACAGGUGGUCAGGUAGAGAAUACCAAGGCGCUUGAGAGAACUCGGGUGAAGGAACUAGGCAAAAUGGUGCCGUAACUUCGGGAGAAGGCACGCUGAUAUGUAGGUGAAGCCCCUGCGGGCGGAGCUGAAAUCAGUCGAAGAUACCAGCUGGCUGCAACUGUUUAUUAAAAACACAGCACUGUGCAAACACGAAAGUGGACGUAUACGGUGUGACGCCUGCCCGGUGCCGGAAGGUUAAUUGAUGGGGUUAGCGGCAACGCGAAGCUCUUGAUCGAAGCCCCGGUAAACGGCGGCCGUAACUAUAACGGUCCUAAGGUAGCGAAAUUCCUUGUCGGGUAAGUUCCGACCUGCACGAAUGGCGUAAUGAUGGCCAGGCUGUCUCCACCCGAGACUCAGUGAAAUUGAACUCGCUGUGAAGAUGCAGUGUACCCGCGGCAAGACGGAAAGACCCCGUGAACCUUUACUAUAGCUUGACACUGAACACUGGUCCUUGAUGUGUAGGAUAGGUGGGAGGCUUUGAAGCGUGGACGCCAGUCUGCGUGGAGCCGCCCUUGAAAUACCACCCUUUAAUGGCUGGUGUUCUAACGUAGACCCGUAAUCCGGGUUGCGGACAGUGUCUGGUGGGUAGUUUGACUGGGGCGGUCUCCUCCCAAAGAGUAACGGAGGAGCACGAAGGUUGGCUAAUCCUGGUCGGACAUCAGGAGGUUAGUGCAAUGGCAUAAGCCAGCUUGACUGCGAGCGUGACGGCGCGAGCAGGUGCGAAAGCAGGUCAUAGUGAUCCGGUGGUUCUGAAUGGAAGGGCCAUCGCUCAACGGAUAAAAGGUACUCCGGGGAUAACAGGCUGAUACCGCCCAAGAGUUCAUAUCGACGGCGGUGUUUGGCACCUCGAUGUCGGCUCAUCACAUCCUGGGGCUGAAGUAGGUCCCAAGGGUAUGGCUGUUCGCCAUUUAAAGUGGUACGCGAGCUGGGUUUAGAACGUCGUGAGACAGUUCGGUCCCUAUCUGCCGUGGGCGCUGGAGAAUUGAGGGGGGCUGCUCCUAGUACGAGAGGACCGGAGUGGACGCAUCACUGGUGUUCGGGUUGUCAUGCCAAUGGCACUGCCCGGUAGCUAAAUGCGGAAGAGAUAAGUGCUGAAAGCAUCUAAGCACGAAACUUGCCCCGAGAUGAGUUCUCCCUGA
rnacentral:rRNA from 1 species